rnacentral:rRNA from 1 species
CCUACGGGUGGCAGCAGUGGGGAAUAUUGCGCAAUGGGGGCAACCCUGACGCAGCAACGCCGCGUGAUUGAAGACGGCUUUCGGGUUGUAAAGAUCUGUAAUCGGGGACGAAUUUUGACGGUACCCGAAGAACAAGCCCCGGCUAACUACGUGCCAGCAGCCGCGGUAAUACGUAGGGGGCAAGCGUUGUCCGGAUUUACUGGGUGUAAAGGGCGUGUAGGCGGGCAUGCAAGUCAGCUGUGAAAUCUGCGGGCUUAACCCCCAAACUGCAUUUGAAACUGCGUGUCUUGAGUGAUGGAGAGGCAGGCGGAAUUCCGAGUGUAGCGGUGAAAUGCGUAGAUAUUGGGAGGAACACCAGUGGCGAAGGCGGCCAGCUGGACAUUAACUGACGCUGAGGCGCGAAAGCGUGGGGAGCAAACAGGAUUAGAUACCCUAGUAGUC